rnacentral:rRNA from 1 species
UUGAACGCUGGCGGCAUGGCUAAAACAUGCAAGUCGAACGCGAAAGCACUUCGGUGCAAGUAGAGUGGCGAAAGGGCGAGGAACACGUACCUAACGUGCCUUCAGGUAAGGGAUAGCUCAUGGAAACGUGUGGUAAUACCUUAUAACCUCAUUUCUUCAUAUGGAGUUUUGAGCAAAGGCUUGCUGCCUGAAGAUCGGGGUACGUCCUAUCNGNUUGUUGGUGAGGUAAUGGCUCACCAAGGCGAAAACGGGUAGCUGGUGUGAGAGCACGACCAGCCGCAUCGGGACUGAGACACU